rnacentral:rRNA from 1 species
GCUGGCGGCGNGUCCAACCAUGGAGGAAAAACGCUCUUGCGCAAGUGAGAGAGUGGCGGACGGGUGAUUAACACGUGGGUCAUCUACCUUGAGGUGAGGAAUACCAGCGAGAAAUCGCUGACAAUACCGCAUACGUUUGUUCCAACAAACAAAGUCGUAAGACGCCACAAGAUGAGCCUGCGCCCGAUUAGCCAGUUGGUGAGGUAACGGCUUACCAAAGCGACGAUCGGUAGCUGGUCUGAGAGGAUGGUCAGCCACACUGGAACUGAGACACGGCCCAGACUCCUACGGGAGGCAGCAGUGGG